GACGAACGCUGGCGGCGUGCUUAACACAUGCCAGUCGAACGGAAAGGCCCUGCUUUUGUGGGGUGCUCGAGUGGCGAACGGGUGAGUAACACGUGAGUAACCUGCCCUUGACUUUGGGAUAACUUCAGGAAACUGGGGCUAAUACCGGAUAGGAGCUCCUGCUGCAUGGUGGGGGUUGGAAAGUUUCGGCGGUUGGGGAUGGACUCGCGGCUUAUCAGCUUGUUGGUGGGGUAGUGGCUUACCAAGGCUUUGACGGGUAGCCGGCCUGAGAGGGUGACCGGCCACAUUGGGACUGAGAUACGGCCCAGACUCCUACGGGAGGCAGCAGUGGGGAAUAUUGCACAAUGGGCGGAAGCCUGAUGCAGCAACGCCGCGUGCGGGAUGACGGCCUUCGGGUUGUAAACCGCUUUCGCCUGUGACGAAGCGUGAGUGACGGUAAUGGGUAAAGAAGCACCGGCUAACUAUGUG
rnacentral:rRNA from 1 species